rnacentral:rRNA from 1 species
UACGAAGGGGGCUAGCGUUGUUCGGAAUCACUGGGCGUAAAGCGCACGCAGGCGGAUUGAUAAGUCAGGGGUGAAAUCCCGGAGCUCAACUUCGGAAUUGCCUUUGAUACUGUCUGUCUUGAGUCCGGGAGAGGUGAGUGGAAUUCCUAGUGUAGAGGUGAAAUUCGUAGAGUAUUAGGAAGAACACCAGUGGCGAAGGCGGCUCACUGGCCCGGUACUGACGCUCAUGGUGCGAAAGCGUGGGGAGCAAACAGG